UGAGGAAGAAAAAAAAUACAAACUGGAUGUUUGCAGCAAGACAUGUAGCUUAAUAAUUAGGACUGAAUUAUACAGUGCAUUCCAUAUUCUACUAUGGAA